UACAGAGGGUGCAAGCGUUAAUCGGAAUUACCGGGCGUAAAGCGCGCGUAGGCGGUUGUGUAAGUUGGAUGUGAAAUCCCCGGGCUUAACCUGGGAACUGCAUUCAAAACUGCACGGCUAGAGUACGGGAGAGGGGGUAGAAUUCCAGGUGUAGCGGUGAAAUGCGUAGAGAUCUGGAGGAAUACCGAUGGCGAAGGCAGCCCCCUGGCCUGAUACUGACGCUGAGGUGCGAAAGCAUGGGGAGCAAACAGGG
rnacentral:rRNA from 1 species